UACGUAGGGUGCGAGCGUUAUUCGGAAUUACUGGGCGUAAAGGGCGCGUAGGCGGUUUUCUAAGUCAGACGUGAAAUCCCCCGGCUUAACCUGGGAACUGCGUCUGAUACUGGGAGGCUUGAGUAUGGGAGAGGGAUGUAGAAUUCCAGGUGUAGCGGUGAAAUGCGUAGAUAUCUGGAGGAAUACCGGUGGCGAAGGCGGCAUCCUGGACCAUAACUGACGCUGAGGCGCGAAAGCUAGGGGAGCAAACGGG
rnacentral:rRNA from 1 species